GAUGAACGCUGGCGGCGUGCCUAAUACAUGCAAGUCGAGCGAACAGACGAGGAGCUUGCUCCUCUGACGUUAGCGGCGGACGGGUGAGUAACACGUGGAUAACCUACCUAUAAGACUGGGAUAACUUCGGGAAACCGGAGCUAAUACCGGAUAAUAUAUUGAACCGCAUGGUUCAAUAGUGAAAGACGGUUUUGCUGUCACUUAUAGAUGUAUCCGCGCCGCAUUAGCUAGUUGGUAAGGUAACGGCUUACCAAGGCGACGAUGCGUAGCCGACCUGAGAGGGUGAUCGGCCACACUGGAACUGAGACACGGUCCAGACUCCUACGGGAGGCAGCAGUAGGGAAUCUUCCGCAAUGGGCGAAAGCCUGACGGAGCAACGCCGCGUGAGUGAUGAAGGUAUUCGGAUCGUAAAACUCUGUUAUUAGGGAAGAACAAAUGUGUAAGUAACUAUGCACGUCUUGACGGUACCUAAUCAGAAAGCCACGGCUAACUACGUG
rnacentral:rRNA from 1 species